AAGGCUUGACAUGUAUUGCUAAGCACGUGAAAGCGUGUGACCCUUCGGGGACCUUACACAGGUGCUGCAUGGCCGUCGUCAGCUCGUGUCGUGAGAUGUUUGGUUAAGUCCAGCAACGAGCGCAACCCCUGUGAAUAGUUGCCAGCACGUAAUGGUGGGGACUCUAUUCAGACUGCCCGGGUCAACCGGGAGGAAGGUGGGGAUGACGUCAGGUCAGUAUGGCCCUUACGCCUUGGGCUGCACACGUACUACAAUGCCCAGUACAAUGAGAACCGAUCCCGCGAGGAGGAGGAAAUCUAAAAAACUGGGCCCAGUUCGGAUUGGAGGCUGCAACUCGCCUCCAUGAAGUUGGAAUCGCUAGUAAUGGCACAUCAGCUACGGUGCCGUGAAUACGUUCCCGGGUCU
rnacentral:rRNA from 1 species